rnacentral:tRNA from 1 species
GCCCCUAUAGCUCAUUCGGUAGAGCAACUGAUUUGUAAUCAGUAGGUGCCGUGUUCGAAUCAUGGUGGGGGCACCA